AAACUUUCAACAACGGAUCUCUUGGUUCUCGCAUCGAUGAAGAACGCAGCGAAAUGCGAUAAGUAAUAUGAAUUGCAGAUAUUCGUGAAUCAUCGAAUCUUUGAACGCACAUUGCGCCCUUUGGUAUUCCAAAGGGCAUGCCUGUUUGAGCGUCAUUUCU
rnacentral:rRNA from 1 species